AGAAGCGGCAGGCAGCUGUCCCCAGCGGCCAGUGUCCCCCAUGCCGGAUCUCUAGGAUCUGGAAGGCCGCUGCUGCCAGGAACAAGAAGUCAGAGAGGGCCAGGCUGAGCAGGAGCAGCGCCAGACGCGUGCCAGCUCCAUGCCGGGCCUGGGAGCCGGCCAGCCACGCCAUCAACCCAUUGGCUGGCAGCCCAAGGAGCAGCAGGGCCACCAGGAAGACCGUGUCCCAGCCACCUUGGGGGUAGGAGUCCUCAUCAUCAAGCUCUGUGCGGGGCCUGUGGCCAGUGGCACCCAGAGCAGGCAAGGGGGCAGCAGGGCCCAAAUCUGGCCAUUGGCCGUCAGAAGCCCCCUGCGGGGGUUGUGACUCCCAAGAGUGAUGCAGAGGAGCCCCCGUUGACCAGGAAGAGGAGCAAGAAGGAGAGGGGGCUCCGAGGGUCUCGAAAGCGCACUGGCAGCUCUGGGGAGCAGACAGGCCCCGAGGCCCCGGGGAGCAGCAAUAACCCUCCCAGCACUGGAGAGGGGCCGGCGGGCGCACCCCCUGCAUCCCCUGGGCCGGCCUCU
rnacentral:sRNA from 1 species